GAAAGCUAUUUAGGUAGCGCCUCGUGAAUUCAUCUUCGGGGUAGAGCACUGUUUCGGCUAGGGGGUCACCGACUUACCAAGCCGAUGCAAACUGCGAAUAUUUCCGAAGAUUGUUAUCACGGGAGACACCGGCGGUUUGCUAACGUCCGUCGUGAAGAGGGAACAACCCAGCCGCCAGCUAAGGUCCCAAAGUCAUGGUUAAGUGGGAAACGAUGUGAAGGCACAGACAGCCAGGAUGUUGGCUUAGAAGCAGCCAAUCAUUUAAAGGAAAGCGAAUAGCUGCAAAUGGUCGGAGGUCGGCCUGCGCGGAAGAUGUAACGGGGCUAAACGCUAUGCACCGAAGCUGCGGCAUGGCGACACUAUGGUGUUGUUGGGUAGUGGGAGGCGUUCUGUAAAGCCGUUGAAGGUGGCCUGUGAGGGGUUGCUGGAGGUAUCAGAAGUGCGAAAUGCUGACAUAAGUAACGAUAAUGCGGGUGAAAAACCGCACGCCGGAAGACCAAGGGUUCCUGUUCCAACGUUAAUCGGGGCAGGGUGAGUCGACCCCUAAGGCGAGGCCGAAAGGCGUAGUCGAUGGGAAACAGGUUAAUAUUCCUGUACUUGGUGUUACUGCGAAGGGGGGACGGAGAAGGCUAUGUUAGCCGGGCGACGGUUGUCCCGGUUUAAGCAUGUAGGCGGAGAUUCCAGGUAAAUCCGGAGUCUUGCUAACGCUGAGGUGUGAUGACGAGGCACUACGGUGCUGAAGUAACAAAUGCCCUGCUUCCAGGAAAAGCCUCUAAGCAUCAGGUAACACAAAAUCGUACCCCAAACCGACACAGGUGGUCAGGUAGAGAAUACCAAGGCGCUUGAGAGAACUCGGGUGAAGGAACUAGGCAAAAUGGUGCCGUAACUUCGGGAGAAGGCACGCUGAUAUGUAGGUGAAGUGAUUUACUCAUGGAGCUGAAAUCAGUCGAAGAUACCAGCUGGCUGCAACUGUUUAUUAAAAACACAGCACUGUGCAAACACGAAAGUGGACGUAUACGGUGUGACGCCUGCCCGGUGCCGGAAGGUUAAUUGAUGGGGUUAUCCGUAAGGAGAAGCUCUUGAUCGAAGCCCCGGUAAACGGCGGCCGUAACUAUAACGGUCCUAAGGUAGCGAAAUUCCUUGUCGGGUAAGUUCCGACCUGCACGAAUGGCGUAAUGAUGGCCAGGCUGUCUCCACCCGAGACUCAGUGAAAUUGAACUCGCUGUGAAGAUGCAGUGUACCCGCGGCAAGACGGAAAGACCCCGUGAACCUUUACUAUAGCUUGACACUGAACACUGGUCCUUGAUGUGUAGGAUAGGUGGGAGGCUUUGAAGUGUGGACGCCAGUCUGCAUGGAGCCAACCUUGAAAUACCACCCUUUAAUGGCUGGUGUUCUAACGUAGACCCGUAAUCCGGGUUGCGGACAGUGUCUGGUGGGUAGUUUGACUGGGGCGGUCUCCUCCUAAAGAGUAACGGAGGAGCACGAAGGUUAGCUAAUCCUGGUCGGACAUCAGGAGGUUAGUGCAAAGGCAUAAGCUAGCUUGACUGCGAGAGUGACGGCUCGAGCAGGUGCGAAAGCAGGUCUUAGUGAUCCGGUGGUUCUGAAUGGAAGGGCCAUCGCUCAACGGAUAAAAGGUACUCCGGGGAUAACAGGCUGAUACCGCCCAAGAGUUUCAUAUCGACGGCGGUGUUUGGCACCUCGAUGUCGGCUCAUCACAUCCUGGGGCUGAAGUAGGUCCCAAGGGUAUGGCUGUUCGCCAUUUAAAGUGGUACGCGAGCUGGGUUUAGAACGUCGUGAGACAGUUCGGUCCCUAUCUGCCGUGGGCGCUGGAGAAUUGAGGGGGGCUGCUCCUAGUACGAGAGGACCGGAGUGGACGCAUCACUGGUGUUCGGGUUGUCAUGCCAAUGGCAUUGCCCGGUAGCUAAAUGCGGAAGAGAUAAGUGCUGAAAGCAUCUAAGCACGAAACUUGCCCCGAGAUGAGUUCUCCCUGACCCUUUAAGGGUCCUGAAGGAACGUUGAAGACGACGACGUUGAUAGGUCGGGUGUGUAAGCGUAGCGAUACGUUGAGCUAACCGAUACUAAUGAACCGUGAGGCUUAACCUU
rnacentral:rRNA from 1 species